AUACAUGCAAGUCGAACGAGCUUCCGUUGAAUGACGUGCUUGCACUGAUUUCAACAAUGAAGCGAGUGGCGAACUGGUGAGUAACACGUGGGGAAUCUGCCCAGAAGCAGGGGAUAACACUUGGAAACAGGUGCUAAUACCGUAUAACAACAAAAUCCGCAUGGAUUUUGUUUGAAAGGUGGCUUCGGCUAUCACUUCUGGAUGAUCCCGCGGCGUAUUAGUUAGUUGGUGAGGUAAAGGCCCACCAAGACGAUGAUACGUAGCCGACCUGAGAGGGUAAUCGGCCACAUUGGGACUGAGACACGGCCCAAACUCCUACGGGAGGCAGCAGUAGGGAAUCUUCCACAAUGGACGAAAGUCUGAUGGAGCAAUGCCGCGUGAGUGAAGAAGGGUUUCGGCUCGUAAAACUCUGUUGUUAAAGAAGAACACCUUUGAGAGUAACUGUUCAAGGGUUGACGGUAUUUAACCAGAAAGCCACGGCUAACUACGUGCCAGCAGCCGCGGUAAUACGUAGGUGGCAAGCGUUGUCCGGAUUUAUUGGGCGUAAAGCGAGCGCAGGCGGUUUUUUAAGUCUGAUGUGAAAGCCUUCGGCUUAACCGGAGAAGUGCAUCGGAAACUGGGAGACUUGAGUGCAGAAGAGGACAGUGGAACUCCAUGUGUAGCGGUGGAAUGCGUAGAUAUAUGGAAGAACACCAGUGGCGAAGGCGGCUGUCUAGUCUGUAACUGACGCUGAGGCUCGAAAG
rnacentral:rRNA from 1 species